rnacentral:rRNA from 1 species
AUACGAAGGGGGCUAGCGUUGUUCGGAAUUACUGGGCGUAAAGCGCGCGUAGGCGGAUUGGUCAGUUAGGGGUGAAAUCCCAGGGCUUAACCCUGGAACUGCCUCCAAUACUGUCAGUCUUGAGUUCGGGAGAGGUGAGUGGAAUUCCUAGUGUAGAGGUGAAAUUCGUAGAUAUUAGGAAGAACACCAGUGGCGAAGGCGGCUCACUGGCCCGAUACUGACGCUGAGGCGCGAAAGCGUGGGGAGCAAACAGGAUUAGAAACCCUAGUAGUCC